GCACUAGGACCCAGCAGAGUCAGACCUCGUGGUGUGAGAGUCUGCAGCGUGGUGACUUUAGGCCCGGUGCUGAGCCUAGGACUCAGCUUCUCUCCAAGAAGAAUAAUGAAGAGAAACCCUCGCCAGGCUUGAUCAAGUACGCCUGGCCUCUGUCGGCAGAAUCCCACACAUCCCUGCACAGGCGCAACCACGAGGCCCUCAAAGGACUCCCCGACAGAGGCAAAGUCCAGGAGCAAACUAUCCGCUUAGAAGUUUCCCACCUUCUCUGAACCGUAUCUGCACAGCCACCGCAGGAGAAGCGGGAGAGAGAGAAAGAACAGCUUUGAAAAAUAACACCUUUGUUAUUGCAAGUGUUAGUAAUGAAGUUGAAUUUGCAGAUGGCCCCAUGGUUUCUGUAGUCUUCACCAAACACAGAUGGAAAAUGGUCCCUUUGAACUGUUCAAAAAAAAAAUCUGUUACCACAGCUUUCUAUGGGGUCUGAGAGGCAGCCUUCAGUGACUUCAGUCUGCCUGAUUUUCAGGGGCAGGUGCUGAGAGAAAGUCUGAUUUUUAUUUCCCUUUAAAAGACAGAUGUACUCAUAAAAAGGCUGCUGAGUAAACAAGGAUGAAAGC